AUUGAACGCUGGCGGCAGGCCUAACACAUGCAAGUCGAGCGAGCGGCGGACGGGUGAGUAAUGUAUGUGGACUGCCCUCUAGAGGGGGAUAACUACUUGAAACGGUGGCUAAUACCGCAUACUAUCGGCUAACCCAUAUCGGAUUAGCUAGUAGAUGGGGUAAAGGUUCAACUAGGCGACGAUCUCUAGCUGGUCUGAGAGGCUGAUAAGCCACACUGGGACUGAGACACGGCACAGACUCCAAGGGAGGCAGCAGUGGGGAAUAUUGCACAAAGGGAGCAAGCCUGCUGAAGCCAUGCCGCGUAUAUGAAGAAGGCCUUAGGGUUGUAAAGUACGUUCAGCGGGGAGGCGCUAUCCGCAGAAGAAGCACCGUCUAACUCCGUGCCAGCAGCCGCGGUAAUAC
rnacentral:rRNA from 1 species